AUUCCAGCUCCAAUAGCGUAUAUUAAAGUUGUUGCAGUUAAAAAGCUCGUAUUUGAAUUUCUGGCCCGAGUAGCCGGUCUGGCCCGAAUGGGCUAGUACUUCGUGUUGUCUCGGGCUUUUCUUUGGGAGAGCUUGUUUGGCAUUAACUUGUCGGGCAAGGGACCCCAAUCGUUUACUGUGAAAAAAUUAGAGUGUUUAAAGCAGGCAUUUGCUGUGAAUACAUUAGCAUGGAAUAAUAAGAUAGGACUUUGGUGCUAUUUUGUUGGUUUGCACACCAAGGUAAUGAUUAACAGGGACAGUUGGGGGUAUUCGUAUUUAAUUGUCAGAGGUGAAAUUCUUGGAUUUAUGAAAGACGAACUACUGCGAAAGCAUUUACCAAGGAUGUUUUCAUCA
rnacentral:rRNA from 1 species